UAAAGGAAGCGAUUCCGGCUACGGAUGGUCAUGCGUCGCAUUAGCUAGUUGGCGGGGUAACGGCCCACCAAGGCGACGAUGCGUAGGGGUUCUGAGAGGAAGGUCCCCCACACUGGUACUGAGACACGGACCAGACUCCUACGGGAGGCAGCAGUGAGGAAUAUUGGUCAAUGGCCGCAGGGCUGAACCAGCCAAGUCGCGUGAGGGAUGACGGUCCUAUGGAUUGUAAACCUCUUUUGUCAGGGAGCAAAGGGCGCCACGUGUGGCGCUUUGCGAGUACCUGAAGAAAAAGCAUCGGCUAACUCCGUGCCAGCAGCCGCGGUAAUACGGAGGAUGCGAGCGUUAUCCGGAUUUAUUAGGUUUAAAGGGUGCGCAGGCGGAAUGUCAAGUCAGCGGUAAAAUUUCGGGGCUCAACCCCGUCGUGCCGUUGAAACUGGCGUUCUUGAGUGAGCGAGAAGUAUGCGGAAUGCGUGGUGUAGCGGUGAAAUGCAUAGAUAUCACGCAGAACUCCGAUUGCGAAGGCAGCAUACCGGCGCUCAACUGACGCUCAUGCACGAAAGCGUGGGUAUCGAACAGGAUUAGAUACCCUGGUAGUCCACGCAGUAAACGAUGAAUACUAACUGUCCGGGCAGAAUGAUGCCUGG
rnacentral:rRNA from 1 species